rnacentral:hammerhead_ribozyme from 1 species
GCACUGCUGAUGAGUCCUAAAAUAGGACGAUACGGCCGUCCAGUCC